ACGCUCGACACCUACGGGAGGUAGCAGUGGGGAAUAUUGCACAAUGGGGGAAACCCGUGAUGCAGCGACGCCGCGUGAGCGAAGAAGUAUUUCGGUAUGUAAAGCUCUAUCAGCAGGGAAGAAACUGACGGUACCUGACUAAGAAGCACCGGCUAAAUACGUGCCAGCAGCCGCGGUAAUCUGAGCGGGCUGGCAAGGC
rnacentral:rRNA from 1 species